rnacentral:lncRNA from 1 species
UUUAGGUCUCCCUAAAUUGCCCUGGGUUCAAGGAAUCCUUCCCUGCCUCAGCCUCCUGAGUAGCUGAUGCUGCAGUUACCAACAGCUGUUACAAGAGUGACCUGGGGGCCAGGAAGCAGCACAAUGCCUGCCUGGAAAGUUUUUGUCUCACUGAGAGGGCGCUGGGAUGGGACCCUAAGGGACCCGUGACCUGGAGGGGCUGUGAACUAGGACCUUCCUCGCACUUGGGUUUUACAGAGCUAUGUUGGAGGGCGGGGAAUUGAAGGACACCCUGAGCGACAGGAACUCUAGCUGCAGCGAGGAGCCAAGGAGGAAGGCCCAGCCACUGCGACCAGACCUUCUGGGCAUCAAAGGGACAGGGCAGGGUAGUCACUUCCUGGGACAAAGAGGACUGACGCAUCACUUGCUGAGGACCUCCAGAAAUCCUGAUUCCAGCUUGUUCCGGUCCUUCGGCCUCCUCCUCUCGCUGCAUUCAUCCACCGCGGGGCUCAGAAGGAGAAAACUUUUCCGCUUCAACUACGGGAAACCCGCAGAAUGGGGAGGAGACAGCACCACCGGGGGCCCCUGGCCCGAGCUCCUGGAUGCUCUGAAUCCAACUGAACAGGCUGGAUCUUCCGUGGACACUUUGACCUUGGGGAGGAGCCAGACGUCACCCGGGCCCGUCCUGGUGGACAGGCAGCUGAGGACGCCCUGUCACGACUGCAUGGAUCUGCCUCUCAAGUUUGAACCCAGCCUGGGCAAUUUACCACCACUACUGGGGAUCGAACUCAGGACCUUGGACUUGGAAAGCAGGAGCGGCACCACUGAGCUAAAUCCCUGGCCCUGGUUCUUCUUUCUCUAA